UAAAGUUGUGUUUUUACUAGUGAAUGUAGAGAUAUGAUUUUGUGUUUAUAAGUUUAUAAAGAGAUUAUUAAGGAUGACUAGCUAAUAUAUUAAGGAGGUGUAAACCAAAUUCAUGAUUAUUUAUAUGUUAUCAUGUAAAUCCUAAGGGGAAACCCAUAAAAGUAUACGAAGUGAAGUGAAACAUCUUAGUAACUUUAGGAAAAUAAAUCAACCGAGAUUUCAUUAGUAGUGGUGAGCGAAAGUGAAUUAGCCUAUAAUACUUAGUUGUCCUAGUUUGUGAAAAGAAAAUAUUUUUACGAAAUUCUAUGUAAGGAUGGAUUUCCAUUUUGAAAAGUUGGAAAGCUUUUGAACGUAUGUUUAUUAUGUUUAUGAGAAGCAAAAUAAGGUGAAAGCCCAAUAAGUAAUGGAUUAAGUAUUUAAUAAAGUAGAAUGAGAGAGAACUUGUUUGAAUUUGUUAUAUUAUCGGUAUUGUAUAAUUAAUAUUGAUAAUAAGUAGGGGAACUAUCCUCUAAGGCUAAAUAUAAUAUAUUAAGCGAUAGUGAAGAGUACCGUGAGGGAAAGUUGAAAAGAGUAUAGUAUAUUAUAUGUUAGUAAGUAAUGUAUAAUGUUAUUAGUAAAGUGAAAUAGAUCUUGAAUUAGUAAUCUUAUAAGCAGCCAGAGGGUUUAGUCUGAUGGCGUACCUUUUGCAUAAUGGGUCAGUAAGUUAAUAUUAGAUGUAAGCCGUAAGGCCUAAAGAAAUUGAUUCUUAUAAGGGAUAAAGUAUAGAUUUAAUUUAUAUGUUAGUAUAUAAGUUAAAAUUUAUUUGAAUAUCUGGUAUUAGACCCGAAACCUAGUGAUCUUACCAUGAUUAGAUGUAAGAUUGAACCGGUGUGCGUAGUAAAGUGCUCGGAUGAAUUGUGGUAAGGAGUGAAAUACAAAUCGGACUAGGAUAUAGCUGGUUUUCUGCGAAAUCUGUUUUAGCAGAUUGUUUAUAGCAUUAUUUAUAAGUAGGUAUAGCACUGAAUAUCUAGUUUGUUAACGAGAAGAGAGUAUGAAAGUAUUUGUCUUAGAUAUUUAAUCUCAGAAUGAUUUAUAAGUAUAAUAAACAGUCGGACUCUACGCGAUAAGGUGUAGAGUCAAGAGGGAAACAGCCCAGAAUAGUAAUUAAAGCUCUAAAAUUAUUGCUAAGUGAAAUAAAAGAAGUAAUUCUUCUAAGACAAUCAUGAAGUGGGCUUGGAAACAGCCAUCUUUUAAAAAACACGUAAUAGUGUAGUGAUCUAUUGAGUAAUUGCGCUUAAAAUAUACGGAUCUAAGUAAUAUGCUGAAAUACUAUUAUCUUGUUAAAAUAGUGCAAGGGUAUAUAUAUAUGUAUAUUAAGGUAUACAAUGUAUAGAUUAUUAAGACAAGAUGGGUAGCAGAACAUUUAGUAGAUGGAGGAAGAAUAAUAUUGUAUUAUUUGGACAUAACUAAAGAGAGAAUGCUGACAUGAGUAACGUUAAAGCAGGUGAGAAUCCUGUUCGCCGUAAACGGAAGGUUUUUAUAGUAAAGCUUAACUUCUAUAAGUAAAUAAGGUCUCUAACAGUAUCUCUAAGGAGUAAUGGAUGAGUAAAUAUAUGAAAGGUUAAUAAAUUAACCCAGGAAAAGGUAUAUUAUAUGACUGUACUAAAACCGACACAGGUCCGUGGAUAAAGUAUAUUAAGGCGUAUGAGAGAAUUAUUGCGAAGGAACUCGGCAAAGAUAUUUCGUAAUUUCGAGACAAGAAGUACCUCUAAAAGGGGGUGUCACAGAAUUUUGUUGUACAACUGUUUACUUAAAACACAGUACUUUGCAAAGAAGAAAUUCAUAGUAUAAAGUAUGAGAUCUGCCCAAUGCUACAGAUGAAUUAUAAGGUUUGGUAGAUUAUAAUUAUCAAAUAUAUAUUAGUCUUAGUGAAUGGCGGCCUUAACUAUAAGGGUCCUAAGGUAGCGAAAUUCCUUGGCCGUUAAAUGCGGUCCCGCAUGAAUGAUUUAAUGAUACAACAACUGUCUCCGCAAUAAACUCAGUGAAAUUGGAAUAGCCGUGAAGAUACGGUUUAUGUGUAGAAAGACGGGAAGACCCUAUGCAGCUUUACUGUUAUUAAUUAUUGUAAUAAAUUCUUAUAUUUGUAGUAUAUAAGGUGGUUGAUUAGACGUAAAUGAAAUACCUUUAAUGUAAGAAGUUAAUGCUAACUGGUAAUUCAGGACAGUGGUUAAUAGACAGUUUAUGUGGGGCGCAUAUCUCAAAAAAAGUAUCUGAGAUGUCCGAAGGUGAAGUAAAAUUGGAUGGUAACCAAUGAAUGUUAAUUGCAAAAAUUAAUAUCCAGGUAUGGAUCAUGAAAGAUUAAAGAAAGUGUAAUGGUAUAACUUUGCUUAACAGUGAGACUGACAAGUCGAUCUGAUACGUAAGUAGGGCAUAGUGACCCUCGUAUUUCAAUAUGGAAUGGUACGAGAUCAACGAAUAAAAGCUACGCUAGGGAUAACAGGGUAAUUUCGUGUGAGAGACCAUAUUGACCACGAAGUUUGCCACCUCGAUGUCGACUCAACCUAUCCUCCUGGAGUAGAAUAUGGGAAGGGUUCGGCUGUUCGCCGAUUAAAAGGUUACGUGAGUUGGGUUAAAAACGUUGUGAAACAGUUUGGUUCCUAUCUUCUAUGCAUAGUAUAAGUUAAAGAAGAAUUUAUUCUAUGUACGCAAGGAUCAGAAUAUCUUAACCUCUGGUAAAACUGUUGUUUAAAUUGUGUGAUUCCUUAGUGAAAAUUUUAUUGAGGUUUCUUAUAAUUAUAGCAUGGCAGUAAAGCUAAGUUGGGAAAGAAUAAAAUUUGAAAGCAUAUUAAAAUUGAAGUCUAUCUUCGGCAACUUACAAUAAAAUCGUUAAAGAUUAUGACGUAUAUAGGCUUUAGCUGUAAGAAUAGCAAUAUUUUAAGGUAUAAAGUACUAAUUUAUAUUAUUGACUAAAUUAUACUC
rnacentral:rRNA from 1 species